UGGGGAAUAUUGGGCAAUGGGCGCAAGCCUGACCCAGCAACGCCGCGUGAAGGAAGAAGGCUUUCGGGUUGUAAACUUCUUUUGUCAGGGAACAGUAGAAGAGGGUACCUGACGAAUAAGCUCCGGCUAACUACGUGCCAGCAGCCGCGGUAAUACGUAGGGAGCGAGCGUUGUCCGGAUUUACUGGGUGUAAAGGGCGUGCAGCCGGGCUGGCAAGUCAGAUGUGAAAUCCAGAGGCUUAACCUCUGAACUGCAUUUGAAACUGCUGGUCUUGAGUACCGGAGAGGUUAUCGGAAUUCCUUGUGUAGCGGUGAAAUGCGUAGAUAUAAGGAAGAACACCAGUGGCGAAGGCGGAUAACUGGACGGCAACUGACGGUGAGGCGCGAAAGCGUGGGGAGCAAACA
rnacentral:rRNA from 1 species